rnacentral:piRNA from 1 species
UGGUUAUCAUUUGACUGCUUGUUGGAUC